rnacentral:rRNA from 1 species
UCAGGAUGAACGCUGGCGGCGUGCCUAAUACAUGCAAGUCGAACGGUCUGUGCCUUUCGGGGGACAGAUAGUGGCGAACGGGUGAGUAACGCGUGGGUAACCUGCCCUGAAGCGGGGGACAACAGCUCGAAAGGGCUGCUAAUACCCCCAUGGGCUGGCAUAGCUGUAGAGGCUGGUCAGCAAAGCCGCAAGGCGCUUUGGGAGGGGCCCGCGUCCCAUCAGCUAGUUGGUCGGGUAAUGGCCUACCAAGGCGAGGACGGGUAGGGGACCUGAGAGGGUGGCCCCCCACAAUGGAACUGAAACACGGUCCAUACACCUACGGGUGGCAGCAGUAGGGAAUAUUACAGAAUGGGCGCAAAAGCCUGAUGCAGCAACGCCGCGUGGGCGAUUGAAGGCCUUCGGGUCGUAAAGCCCUUUUGCGAGGGAAGAGGAAGGACGGUACCUCGCGAAUAAGCCUCGGCUAACUACGUGCCAGCCGCCGC